rnacentral:rRNA from 1 species
AAGUGCGAAUGCUGACAUAAGUAACGAUAAAACGGGUGAAAAACCCGUUCGCCGGAAGACCAAGGGUUCCUGUCCAACGUUAAUCGGGGCAGGGUGAGUCGGCCCCUAAGGCGAGGCUGAAAAGCGUAGUCGAUGGGAAACGGGUUAAUAUUCCCGUACUUGGAUAAACUGCGAUGUGGGGACGGAGCAGGUUAGGUUAUCGCACUGUUGGAUAUGUGCGUUUAAGUUUGUAGGUGGGAAGUUUAGGCAAAUCCGGACUUCUAUUAAACACUGAGAGAUGAUGACGAGGCUCUACGGAGCUGAAGUAACCGAUACCACACUUCCAGGAAAAGCCACUAAGCUUCAGGUUUAUCUAAACCGUACUGAAAACCGACACAGGUGGUCAGGUAGAGAAUACUCAGGCGCUUGAGAGAACUCGGGUGAAGGAACUAGGCAAAAUAGCACCGUAACUUCGGGAGAAGGUGCGCCGGCGUAGAUUGUAGUCCCUUGCGGAUGAAGGUUGAACCGGUCGAAGAUACCAGCUGGCUGCAACUGUUUAUUAAAAACACAGCACUCUGCAAACACGAAAGUGGACGUAUAGGGUGUGAUGCCUGCCCGGUGCUGGAAGGUUAAUUGAUGGUGUAAUCGAAAGAGAAGCUCCUGAUCGAAGCCCCAGUAAACGGCGGCCGUAACUAUAACGGUCCUAAGGUAGCGAAAUUCCUUGUCGGGUAAGUUCCGACCUGCACGAAUGGCAUAAUGAUGGCCAGGCUGUCUCCACCCGAGACUCAGUGAAAUUGAAAUCGCCGUGAAGAUGCGGUGUACCCGCGGCUAGACGGAAAGACCCCGUGAACCUUUACUAUAGCUUGACACUGAACAUUGAAUUUUGAUGUGUAGGAUAGGUGGGAGCCUUUGAAGCAGUCACGCCAGUGAUUGUGGAGGCGUCCUUGAAAUACCACCCUUUAACGUUUGAUGUUCUAACGAAGAUUACGAAACGUGGUCUCGGACAGUGUCUGGUGGGUAGUUUGACUGGGGCGGUCUCCUCCCAAAGAGUAACGGAGGAGCACGAAGGUUUGCUAAUGACGGUCGGACAUCGUCAGGUUAGUGCAAUGGUAUAAGCAAGCUUAACUGCGAGACAGACAAGUCGAGCAGGUACGAAAGUAGGUCAUAGUGAUCCGGUGGUUCUGAAUGGAAGGGCCAUCGCUCAACGGAUAAAAGGUACUCCGGGGAUAACAGGCUGAUACCGCCCAAGAGUUCAUAUCGACGGCGGUGUUUGGCACCUCGAUGUCGGCUCAUCACAUCCUGGGGCUGAAGUAGGUCCCAAGGGUAUGGCUGUUCGCCAUUUAAAGUGGUACGCGAGCUGGGUUUAGAACGUCGUGAGACAGUUCGGUCCCUAUCUGCCGUGGGCGUUGGAGAAUUGGUUGGGGCUGCUCCUAGUACGAGAGGACCGGAGUGGACGCACCACUGGUGUUCCGGUUGUGUCGCCAGACGCAUUGCCGGGUAGCUAAGUGCGGAAGAGAUAAGUGCUGAAAGCAUCUAAGCACGAAACUUGCCAAGAGAUGAGUUCUCCCAGAUUAUAAAUCUGUAAGGGUUGUUUAAGACUAAGACGUAGAUAGGUGCGGUGUGUAAGUGUAGUGAUACAUUGAGCUAACGCAUACUAAUUGCCCGAGAGGCUUAACUAU